rnacentral:rRNA from 1 species
UAGCCUUCGGGCAAAGCGAAACAAUAAAAGCCCUUCCAAGAAAAGCGAGCAUAGCAGCCAGUACCGUAAACCGACACAGGUAGAAGGGAUGAGUAUUCUAAGGCGCUCGGGUGAGCCGCGGAGAAGGAACUAGGCAAAUUAACGCUGUAACUUCGGGAUAAAGCGUACCGUAGCGAUACGGUCACAGUAAAAUGGUACAACCAACUGUUUAACAAAAACACAGGGCCCUGCAAAAUCGUAAGAUGACGUAUAGAGCCUGAUACCUGCCCGGUGCUGGAAGGUUAAGGAAGGAUGUUCGGCGCAAGCCAAAGCUUCUGACUGAAGCCCCAGUAAACGGCGGCCGUAACAAUAACGGUCCUAAGGUAGCGAAAUCCCUUGUCGGCUAAAUACCGACCCGCAUGAAAGGCGUAACGACUUGGGCACUGUCUCAACGAGAAGCUCGGUGAAAUUGUAGCACCCGUGAAGAUGCGGGUUACGCGCAGUAGGACGGAAAGACCCCGUGGAGCUUUACUACACCCUGUCACUGCGAAUUGGGUGUAGAUGUAGAGAGUAGGUGGGAGCUUAGGCACCAAUGGAACACCACCCUUCUACAUCUGGUUCGCUAACCGUCACCAUUAUCUGGUGACGAGACAAUGACAGGCGGGUAGUUUGACUGGGGCGGUCGCCUCCCAAAAGGUAACGGAGGCGCCUAAAGUUGCACUCAGGCUGGUUGGAAAUCAGCCGUCGAGCGUAUAGGUAUAUAGUGCGAUUGACUGCGAGACAAACAGGUCGAGCAGGGACGAAAGUCGAGCUAAGUGACCCUCUGGUGGUGCGUGGGCACGCCAGGGUUCAUCGGAUAUAAGCUACCCCGGGGAUAACAGGCUGAUCUUGCCCGAGCGCUCACAGCGACGGCAUGGUUUGGCACCUCGAUGUCGGCUCGUCUCAUCCUGGGGCUGUACACGGUCCCAAGGGUUCCGGAGUUCACGGAUUAAAGAGGCACGCGAGCUGGGUUCAGAACGGCGUGAGCCAGUUCGGUCCCUAUCCACUGCGCGCGGAGGAAAUUUGAGAGGACUCGCUCCUAGUACGAGAGGACCGGAGUGAACCGACCUCUGGUGUACCUGUUGUGCCGCCAGGCGCAUACGCAGGGUAGCCACGUCGGGUCGUGAUAAGCGCUGAAAGCAUCUAAGCGCCAAGCACACCUCAAGAUGAGAUUUCCCAUCGAAAGAGUAAGGCCCCCGGAAGACUACCGGGUUGAUAGGUCGCAGGUGUGAGCGCAGUAAUGUGUUAAGCUGAGCGAUACUAAUUGGCCGAGGGCCUAAAAAG